UGCCGUGAGGCCGACCCCGGGCCGGGCGGGGAGCGCGGAGAGCCCUAAUUAAAUAAUUAACGAAACAAGAUCACCAUAUGUGAAGGAUCCUUCCAGCCUUAUGCUUUACCUUGGCAGACAGCAGAAUUUCCACGCACUUAGAGGCAGCAAAUGAGAAUCCCUGGAUACAUUUUUGCUGAGUAGGAGAAGAGCACUGUAAGCAGUGUGACCGAGAAAAGUCACUGAUCCAUUAAACACCACUGGAGCACUGGUUGGUGAACUGAGAUAGAAUCCUGUGAGAGAAGAGUUAUACACCUAAUGUGGGACAAGCAUGUGUGUGGGGAUUUCAGCAUUUUGAGCUCCAUAAAAAGUGUAAGGAGCUGUAGUGAAUGAUAGAGAGAGCCUUAAAGCAGUCAAGAGAAGAAUCUCCCACAUGUGAAGAAAAUCUUGUAAAAUUUGAUGAAAAAUGAAGAAUGAUUUUACUGAGGAGACCUGAAGCUUUUCAACUCUCAUACCCUGUGAGGCACAUUAUCUGCAGGACCUGAUGUGAGAGAGCACAAGAUUUCAUCCCAUGAUCUUUGUGCCCGUGGAGAUGCGUGUUGCCAUUUCAUUUGUCUUUUUACCUCUGAAGAGAAGGGUGCAAACCAUAAUCAUUUUCUCAAAGUCAUAUUUUUUUAUUAC